GGUUCCGUAGUGUAGUGGUUAUCACGUUUGCUUCACACGCGAAAAGGUCUCCGGUUCGAUUCCGCACGGAACCA